rnacentral:rRNA from 1 species
CCUACGGGAGGCAGCAGUGAGGAAUAUUGGUCAAUGGACGCAAGUCUGAACCAGCCAUGCCGCGUGCAGGAAGACGGCUCUAUGAGUUGUAAACUGCUUUUGUACGAGGGUAAACGCAGAUACGCGUAUCUGUCUGAAAGUAUCGUACGAAUAAGGAUCGGCUAACUCCGUGCCAGCAGCCGCGGUAAUACGGAGGAUUCAAGCGUUAUCCGGAUUUAUUGGGUUUAAAGGGUGCGUAGGCGGUCGGAUAAGUUAGAGGUGAAAUGCCGAGGCUCAACUUCGGAACUGCCGCUGGUACUGUUCGGCUAGAGAGUGGUUGCGGUAGGCGGAAUGUAUGGUGUAGCGGUGAAAUGCUUAGAGAUCAUACAGAACACCGAUUGCGAAGGCAGCUUACCAUGCUACUUCUGACGUUGAGGCACGAAGGCGUGGGGAGCGAACAGGAUUAGAUACCCGAGUAGUC